rnacentral:rRNA from 1 species
UACGGAGGGUGCAAGCGUUACUCGGAAUCACUGGGCGUAAAGAGCGCGUAGGCGGGAUAGCAAGUCAGAUGUGAAAUCCUAUGGCUUAACCAUAGAACUGCAUUUGAAACUGUUAUUCUAGAGUACGGCAGAGGCAAGUGGAACUACAUGUGUAGCGGUAAAAUGCGUAAAUAUAUGUAAGAACACCGGUGGCGAAGGCGGCUUGCUGGGCCUGUACUGACAUUGAGGCACGAAAGCGUGGGGAGCAAACAGG